rnacentral:rRNA from 1 species
CAGUAGCCGCGGGAAUACGUAGGUCCCGAGCGUUGUCCGGAUUUAUUGGGCGUAAAGCGAGCGCAGGCGGUUAGAUAAGUCUGAAGUUAAAGACUGUGGCUUAACCGUAGUACGCUUUGGAAACUGUUUAACUUGAGUGCAAGAGGGGAGAGUGGAAUUCCAUGUGUAGCGGUGAAAUGCGUAGAUAUAUGGAGGAACACCGGUGGCGAAAGCGGCCCUCUGGCUUGUAACUGACGCUGAGGCUCGAAAGCGUGGGGAGCAAACAGGAUUAGAGACCCCCGUAGUCCCUGUCUCUUAUACA